rnacentral:rRNA from 1 species
UACAGAGGGUGCAAACGUUGUUCGGAAUUACUGGGCGUAAAGCGUGUGUAGGCGGCCGCGCAAGUCGGAUGUGAAAUCCCCGGGCUCAACCCGGGAAGUGCACCCGAAACUGCGAGGCUUGAGUACCGGAGAGGUUGGUGGAAUUCUCGGUGUAGAGGUGAAAUUCGUAGAUAUCGAGAGGAACACCGGUGGCGAAGGCGGCCAACUGGACGAGUACUGACGCUGAGACACGAAAGCGUGGGGAGCAAACAGG